rnacentral:rRNA from 1 species
AUUGAACGCUGGCGGCAGGCCUAACACAUGCAAGUCGAACGGUAACAGGAAGAAGCUUGCUUCUUUGCUGACGAGUGGCGGACGGGUGAGUAAUGUCUGGGAAACUGCCUGAUGGAGGGGGAUAACUACUGGAAACGGUAGCUAAUACCGCAUAACGUCGCAAGACCAAAGAGGGGGACCUUCGGGCCUCUUGCCAUCGGAUGUGCCCAGAUGGGAUUAGCUAGUAGGUGGGGUAACGGCUCACCUAGGCGACGAUCCCUAGCUGGUCUGAGAGGAUGACCAGCGACACUGGAACUGAGACACGGUCCAGACUCCUACGGGAGGCAGCAGUGGGGAAUAUUGCACAAUGGGCGCAAGCCUGAUGCAGCCAUGCCGAGUGUAUGAAGAAGGCCUUCGGGUUGUAAAGUACUUUCAGCGGGGAGGAAGGGAGUAAAGUUAAUACCUUUGCUCAUUGACGUUAACCGCAGAAGAAGCACCGGCUAACUCCGUG